GGUCCAUUUGCGGUGUUUGUAUACGCAGAUGCGUUCCCGCCACCGAUACUGCUGCCACCGUAGUCUCCCACGCUUGAAUUUGACUUUGCUGCUGUAACAGAUUUCCAUUUCCAUUUUAUUCAAAGAUUUACACAAGAGGAAGAAAUGGAAGACAAAAGUGCAAAGGUCGUAACAUUCACGAAAUAUGCAGUCAUCAAAGCAUACUUCGCAAACCUGCCUGUAAAACAGCAAUUGUUUCAACAUAAAAGAAAUGUAAGAAUACUAAAGGUUUCAUUUACACUAAUAUAUCAAGCAAAGGGAGAUUUGUUUGACUUAUACUCUUCUCGAUCUUAAUUACGGAACGUCAGUGUCCUACGUACGUGUCCAACGUGUCCACGAAAGAGUUAAAGCCAAUAUACGAGGAGUUAAGCUCAAGUUUAAUCCAUCGACCGACAGUCGUUUGUUGUCCAACACAGCUGGUCAGUGUCCUAAGAAAUCAACCUGUCCAGCCUACACAGAAGACCGAUAGGGUUGACCCUCCAAAUCUGGAUCAAAUUGCAUCAGCUGUUGCCGGAUGUCAAAGGGUUCGGACUUUUAUGACCGCUCUCUACCUUUACUCUGACAUCGGAGGGCAACUUUUUGGCUGUCAUACUCGGAGAUGUCACCUCGCUACCGUCUUGGGACCUCGAGUCAUCGUCCGCUAUCAUCUUCUCGAAGGAACUGGAGACACUGUUGGUGCUUCCAACGCUGCUGGCCCCGUUGCUGUUCGCAUUGAAGCCUGGAUUGCUGUUGUUGUUCGUCGCGAUGGUGGGUGGGGAGCGGCGAAUUCGCAGGAAAACAGUGCCGCUAAUUUCAUAGGAGCCGAUGAUUUAUGGUCGACUGCAACGUUCCGUUAUUGCAACGGCCGAUGGAACAAGGAUACGUCUUGGGUGCAGAAGGUAAACGUCGAGACCUGACGCGUUAAUAGGUUCUUUACGAGAGGACGAGAAUUCGGUCAGCGAUUGCGAGGAAUUUUAAACGAUCCGAGGACACAUAGAGGCAGUAGGAGCAUAGAACAAUUUUUACAUUGCCUUAAUAUCCGUUUAUACUGGAUCGAGGCUCGCAUCAGGCACGACCGAUCCCUCUUCCCUCUUGGUCGAAGAAAUUUCGCCACGCUACCAUGGAAGCAGUUGGCGCGAUCUGUGAGCAAAAUCUUCCGGGGCUGUUCGAGAAGGAGAGGAAAGUAAAGGAAGAAUGAAGAGGGAAAGAGGAGAAAGAAAGAGGUUCGCUCGUGCGACGAGGUAUACAAGGUUGUAGCAUGGUACCGGUUACAUGCAGCCGGCUGUAAUAGGGUGAGAGGAGCCGUAGGGUGAGCAGCCUCGGACUUGACUAAUGAGGCGGCGCGUCCUCGACGUUAUUAGAUCGCCGAAAGAGUUUUUGAGGAUGGCCCGGCUCCGUCCAUGGACGAAUCCACCGCGAAGGAUGGGUAAUGAUACGGCUGGACCCCGUUUCUUAUUUGUCAAACGUCAGCCGCAAAGACGUUGCCCGGUUGUUUUUGGGCCAGAAGGAAGUCUUGCCUCUUCUCGGAAUGAUAAUCUACUUGCAAAUGCGACCGGCUAUCUUUCUUUCUCUUCUACCGCAACACGUUCCUCUCUCCGUUUCUCUUGUUCAUGCCGUGUUUGUUCUGGCCGCUGUGUAACGGGGAUGAAGGAACGUUGAAGGAAGCUGGGCCACGUCGCUUUCCGCAGCCUCUGUUACGUAAUUAUCAAUAAUCACCAGGUUAAGGGACACGUCGGGGGAGGGAGGAAAGGGAAACGGAGCUGGUAGCUUGAAAUUAAGCGUUUCCACGCGAGGCGGUUUUCUUUAUCAUGUAGAUUGCUCGAGGGAAUUAGUUUGUUGGUUAAAUCACGCGAUGGUAUAAUAGAAUUCUCGAUGAAUUUGCAAUAGAUAAUGAAUCAUAUUUUUGGUAAUAAGUACGUUAAUUGUUGAGAAACGAAAGGUAUGCGAGCAAGUCGUCGUUCCGAGACGGGCAACGUCGUGUCGGUACUCGUUGCACCUUAAUUAACGUUUUAAUUGUAUCCUUCAUGUAUGAACAGUGGCCGUUCCACUCUGCGAUGCACACUAACAAACCUAAUUUCCGUCUGAAGAACGAAACCGCGUUCUUAUCUGCCAACACGUCGCUGAACAUGCUUACUGAUUUCGUUAUUUCAUUCUGGAAUUAAUUCAUUCUUAUCUUUCUUGUUACGAAGCUUCUGAUCAAAUUCAAGUCCGAAACCUAUGAUCGUUGUUGAGAUUCGUCGCGAGACCCAAAUAAUCCCUCACAUGGAUGGAAGUUAACGAAACAGGAAACGAGGUAUAUUAAACGGGUAGAUCGAAAGAAGAAACGAAGAAGAAACUCGAGGAUAAGGAGUGGGACGAGGUCGUGAAU